GUAUCAAAAGAUGCCAGCUGAGCUGGUUCAUGCAUCUUACAAGGAUGCCUCCAAACGGAGGUUUUUCUAGGCAUGUCCUAAUGGAGGAGGACCAGGGCAGAACUGGGACUCGCAGCUUCAGUUAACAUUGACACACUUUGGCAACAAUAGCAGAUAUAGGCGGCCACUUCAUUGCAUGUUCCUGUCACCUGUCUGAGAAUGAUGUUGUUGUGAUAUAAAGGAUUAUCGCACCUGUCAAUAAAGCCUUUUAUCUGCAGCCAUGACCUGUCACCGAGCUAGCUUAGCACGGCUAGUUAGCCUCUCAAAGCUCAAACUUUCAACACAAAGUCGCUCCAGACUUUCUCACACCACCCCUCGCUCUCCUACAUUAAAGCCAUAAUUACAUCGGUAAUUUCACACACUGCGUGUAUCUACCUGUGCGAUAAUGAUCAAACUUCGGUCUGAGUGCAAGAUAAACAUUGUUUACAUAUAGUAUAUAACAUAGUAAGAGUUUCUUACCGCUCGUGAGGAGCAGGAGCAACAGCAGCAUCUUCAAUCUCCUGCAAGAAACAGCAACCCGUUAAAUCCAAAUACUUCUCAUUGUUGUCUUAAUAUUUGGGGAUUUAUAUUUCAUAUUUGGAGCCGUGAAUAAAACACAGUGGAGGGAGAAACACCAGCUAUACUGUUUACUUUCGGUUUCACGGGAACAGCAGUGUCCUGUCUUCCAGGUUAACUGGUUUUUACUUUCACUGGCAUAUGUAUUGUCUGAGGGAGCUGCACUGCUCAAACAGCUCUUAUCUCCAAACUAAACUCUCAGCGCCCUGAACUUGUUUAUUGAUCAAACUGACGAUGAUAAAACAUUACAAAUACACUUACUCAGCAGUGGUGUGUUGUAAUGCAGUUCAUCGCCGCAUGGUGGCUCCUGUUGUGUCAUGACUGCAGGUCACCCUCUUUUUUUAUUCUUCUUCGUUGUGUACGCGGACUAGUGUGCUCUCGUGUGUGGUAGAGCUGGCACUUUUAUUUUUGAUAUUUAAAUUCUGGACACAAGACGUCGCACACCUUCAUCAUGCAGCUUUUCAGAAACUCUCCUUCGUCCAAAUGCGUCUUCUGAGCGCAUCUGAGUCACGUGACGACACAGUAACAAAUCCCAGCAGGGCAGGAAGAAGGGGGCGGAGCAAAGUGCGUCUGCCGCAUAAGAAGAGGUGUUCACACAGACAGAGCUGCU
rnacentral:lncRNA from 1 species